CGAACCGGGGAGCUCUGGCACCGGAGUCCUACCGUGAUGAAAGGUUAUUUCAAGAACGAGGAAGCUACUGCAUCUACUAUUGAUUCAGAAGGAUAGUUGAAGACCGGAGAUUUGUGUUACAUUGACGGUGAAGGUUUUGUCUUUGUUGUUGAUAGAUUAAAGGAGCUUAUCAAAUGCAAUGGUUAUCAGGUUGCUCCAGCUGAGCUUGA